rnacentral:lncRNA from 1 species
GAAAAUCUAGAGGAGACAAGAGAGGAUUCAUUUGAAAUACUCGUCGACGAGUUUCUGAUGUGAGAGUAUAAAUUUAGUGUUUUAUUCCUUCGAAGAAAUGUAACCAAUUUGCUUUGAAACAUGGCGUCUUCCUAUCUAUCUCACAAUCAGACCACCACCUUCGAAUGAAUGUUUUCUGGGUACAGGCUUUCCGAAAACUAGUACAACAGUACCUGUAUAUGGCAAUAAAAAGAGGACUAACUGUCAGUAAUAAACCUGCAGAAAAAGACAACAGGAUAUGAGUAUAGUAUUUAGUAUUUGGUUUGGCAACUAUGUGUUUCCAGAAAUUUAAUUAAAUACCACUCUCGAUAAAAUGGCUAUUCAAUGAAUGUUGUUACAUUUGUCAACAUAGAUAAAUUCAACAAAAUAGUGUUCCCAGUGUGCAACACUAGCAACAACCUAUCUGUUACUACUGCCCUUUGGUUUCAGAUUUUCAGCUAUUGUUGCUCUACCACUCUCUCGAUUUCUAUAAGAAAAUCCAUCUAGAAUAGGAAAAACCUUCAAGGUUUGUCUUCAGGUACACAUGCACUUGAUUUUCAAUACACAAAGGCUCUUUGCAUCAUUUUGGACUGAAGUCCAGUCUUUCGUAGGGAGUAAACAAAGGAUAUAAUUUGAAUUGUAUUCUUCAACAUAAUAUGAGUUUUUUCUAUUAGUUGCUUUUCCAUACUCUAUAUACAGUAAUAGUUUGAAUAAACGUGUCUGAGAAGCUAAGAAGAAAACUCAGACCCCAAUUUGGGAUUUCGGGGGUUUUAGUCAUUUUCUCCAUUUUACUUACAAAAAAUGAUUCAUAAUCAGUUUAUAAAAGUAGCUUUCCUUUCAACACUCCAGAGUAUUCUUUAGUAUUAGCAUUUGAAUCCAUCUUGUUCAUAUUAUGUUGUAAUCAGUUUCUAAUAGUAAAAUUAAGGAGAUUUCAACAUUUAUGUGGUGUUUUAAUCACAAAAUCAGAAAUUAAAAAAAAAAAAAAAAAAAAAAAAAAAAAGACCAUAAGAUAAAAUAGGGAAUUAUUCUAAAUGUAAACAAACUUGUUUACUUAUAAAGUUCUUCACAAUAAAAUCAAACAAAACAAAAAAGACUAGAAUAACAAGUAGAAAAUAAAAAUAAAAACUUAUUGAAAAUGAAGAAAACCCUAAACUCCAUUUCUUACCAAAAUGAAAGAUAACCAUAAACAGAGAACUUACUUAAUCUUCUUCAAAGAAUACAGAGUUUUGUUGUAUUAGUGGAGUGAAGGAAACACAGUAAUGCGGCGGGUUCGUUGCUUACUUGCUUGAGAAAAGAAAACAACAGAGAAGAAGAAGAAGAAGAAGAAGAAUAGCUUGCUAGGCCCAAAGAUUAGCUACGUGGCAUUUGAAAAUGGCGUGCUUAUUUAUGAAC